rnacentral:tRNA from 2 species
GCCUCUUUAGCUCAGUCGGUAGAGCGCACGGCUGUUAACCGUUAGGUCGUAGGUUCGAGUCCUACAAGAGGCGCCA